rnacentral:rRNA from 1 species
UACGGAGGGUACAAGCGUUAUCCGGAUUCACUGGGUUUAAAGGGUGCGUAGGUGGGUUGGUAAGUCAGUGGUGAAAUCUCCGAGCUUAACUUGGAAACUGCCAUUGAUACUAUCAGUCUUGAAUAUUGUGGAGGUCAGCGGAAUAUGUCAUGUAGCGGUGAAAUGCUUAGAUAUGACAUAGAACACCAAUUGCGAAGGCAGCUGGCUACGCAUAUAUUGACACUGAGGCACGAAAGCGUGGGGAUCAAACAGG